GACAGAUCGAUACUGAAGCAAGCAGGGUUCACCCCAGGGUGGAAGAUUUAAAGUCUAAACUUGCCAUUCACAAAACAGAACCUAAUCAGAGAAACAAAGGCACCGAGACACUCAUCGCCCAAACAGGACAACAGAAAGGAAACUUCAUCAAGAGGGAGCCAUGUUGGGUACUGAGACAAAGAAGGCUGCUGAGAGAAAGCAUGAACACACAGCCUCGUUAAAAAGUUUUAACCCACCACUUCUUAGGAGGACACAAUUAUAUAUAGU
rnacentral:lncRNA from 1 species